rnacentral:rRNA from 1 species
GUCGGUGGCCACAGCGGAGCGGGACACGCCCGGCAUCCAUCCCGAACCCGGAAGCUAAGCCCUCCAGCGCCUAAGGUACUGCACCCCCACGGGUGUGGGAGACUCGGACACCGCCGACC